AACGAACGCUGGCGGCAUGCCUAACACAUGCAAGUCGAACGAGACCUUCGGGUCUAGUGGCGCACGGGUGCGUAACGCGUGGGAACCUGCCCUUAGGUUCGGAAUAACUCCCCGAAAGGGGUGCUAAUACCGGAUAAUGUCUUCGGACCAAAGAUUUAUCGCCUUUGGAUGGGCCCGCGUUGGAUUAGCUAGUUGGUAGUGUAAAAGCCUACCAAGGCGACGAUCCAUAGCUGGUCUGAGAGGAUGAUCAGCCACACUGGGACUGAGACACGGCCCAGACUCCUACGGGAGGCAGCAGUGGGGAAUAUUGGACGAUGGGCGAAAGCCUGAUCCAGCAAUGCCGCGUGAGUGAUGAAGGCCUUAGGGUUGUAAAGCUCUUUUACCCGGGAUGAUAAUGACAGUACCGGGAGAAUAAGCUCCGGCUAACUACGUG
rnacentral:rRNA from 1 species